CAUCAGGAGGCCUGUUAAGACGUCAGGAGGUGUUGUAAGACAUCAGGAGGCCUGUUAAGACGUCAGGAGGUGUUGUAAGACAUCAGGAGGCCUGUUAAGACGUCAGGAGGUGUUGUAAGACAUCAGGAGGCCUGUUAAGACGUCAGGAGGUGUUGUAAGACAUCAGGAGGCCUGUUAAGACGUCAGGAGGUGUUGUAAGACAUCAGGAGGCCUGUUAAGACGUCAGGAGGUGUUGUAAGACAUCAGGAGGCCUGUUAAGACGUCAGGAGGUGUUGUAAGACAUCAGGAGGCCUUUCAAGACGUCAGGAGGUGUUGUAAGACAUCAGGAGGCAUGUUAAGACGUCAGGAGGUGUUGUAAGACAUCAGGAGUCCUGUUAAGACGUCAGGAGGUAUUGUAAGACAUCAGGAGGCCUGUUAAGACGUCAGGAGGAGUUGUAAGACAUCAGGAGGCCUGUUAAGACGUCAGGAGGUGUUGUAAGACAUCAGGAGGCCUGUUAAGACGUCAGGAGGUGUUGUAAGACAUCAGGAGGCCUGUUAAGACAUCAGGAGGUGUUUUAAGACAUCAGGAGGCCUGUUAAGACGUCAGGAGGUGUUUUAAGACAUCAGGAGGCCUGUUAAGACGUCAGGAGGUGUUGUAAGACAUCAGGAGGCCUGUUAAGACGUCAGGAGGUGUUGUAAGACAUCAGGAGGCCUGU